rnacentral:rRNA from 1 species
CCUACGGGAGGCCGCAGUGAGGAAUAUUGGUCAAUGGACGAGAGUCUGAACCAGCCAAGUAGCGUGAAGGAUGACUGCCCUAUGGGUUGUAAACUUCUUUUAUAUGGGAAUAAAACGUUCCACGUGUGGGAUUUUGUAUGUACCAUAUGAAUAAGGAUCGGCUAACUCCGUGCCAGCAGCCGCGGUAAUACGGAGGAUCCGAGCGUUAUCCGGAUUUAUUGGGUUUAAAGGGAGCGUAGGUGGAUUGUUAAGUCAGUUGUGAAAGUUUGCGGCUCAACCGUAAAAUUGCAGUUGAAACUGGCAGUCUUGAGUAAAGUAGAGGUGGGCGGAAUUCGUGGUGUAGCGGUGAAAUGCUUAGAUAUAACGAAGAACUCCGAUUGCGAAGGCAGUUCACUGGACUGCAACUGACACUGAGGCUCGAAAGUGUGGGUAUCAAACAGGAUUAGAUACCCGAGUAGU